AUAUCAUCAACCAUGUGUAGUUAACCCGUGAUUAUGUUAAGAUCGAUUGUUUUUUUUUACAAGAUAAGUUUAAUGCCAGCUAGUAACUUACCAUGGCUCCUUGCUGCCUGCACUCGCGUAACAGGUGAUCAGCCUGCCACGCAGUCUCCUCGUGGAGUAACAGGUGAUCAGCCUGCCACGCAGUCUCCUCGUGGAGUAACAGGUGAUCAGCCUGCCACGCAGUCUCCUCGUGGAGUAACAGGUGAUCAGCCUGCCACGCAGUCUCCUCGUGGAGUAACAGGUGAUCAGCCUGCCACGCAGUCUCCUCGUGGAGUAACAGGUGAUCAGCCUGCCACGCAGUCUCCUCGUGGAGUAACAGGUGAUCAGCCUGCCACGCAGUCUCCUCGUGGAGUAACAGGUGGUCAGCCUGCCACGCAGUCUCCUCGUGGAGUAACAGGUGAUCAGCCUGCCAUGCAGUCUCCUCGUGGAGUAACAGGUGGUCAGCCUGCCAUGCAGUCUCCUCGUGGAGUAACAGGUGAUCAGCCUGCCAUGCAGUCUCCUCGUGGAGUAACAGGUGAUCAGCCUGCCACGCAGUCUCCUCGUGGAGUAACAGGUGAUCAGCCUGCCAUGCAGUCUCCUCGUGGAGUAACAGGUGAUACAGCCAGAUCAUGUGACUUUUCCC